UUUGAGGAAGAUUAAUUUCCUUACAUGCGACCCGGCCCCUCCAAGGCCUCAGUAGCGAGCUGGGCGUGGAGGAGUGUGGGUGCCAUGCUUGCCCGUUACUUCACCAGUAUUCUCGUAGUAUUGGGCCCGCGUAGGAACGUGCGUGGUGUGAUGUACAAUACAUGAAAGAAGACUGCUGUGGUAUGGUCAUGUGUAAAAGGAGAAAGAGAAAUGUAGAAACAGUAGGAAAAGAGAAAGAUGAAAUGGAGCAUAUACAGGAACUAAAAGAUGAUGUGAAAAAGGAGGAUUGAAGAAAGGUGUGAAUGAAGAUGACUUGCUACCAAAGCAAUUGUAUUACUGCGGCCACUGCACUUGGACCAUGUAACAGAACCUUCACCUGUAGGCCUUCCUGACCUGCAUUCUGAACAAGACUUGUAAGACUUGUGGAUCAGCUUGUUGCUGAUUAAUAAGAAAUUUGUUCGUAAGAGUUCGAGAGACUCUUUCCCUUGUGUUUUUUUUUUUUUUUUUUUAAUAAAAGUUUUACAUCAAU